AUGGGGUCCAUCGCGGACCAGGGCAAAUUCUACAAAGAAGCCUACAACGCCCUGAAGCCCGGCGGCUGGCUGGAGAUCGUCGAGAUGCAGGUCCUGCUCUACUCCGACGACGACAGCAUCCCCGAGAACUCGGCCCUGGCGCAGUGGGGUGUGUGUCUGGAGGAGGCGUUCCGCAAAAUCGGCAAAGGCUUCCCGGAGAUCGACUCGUUUGCACCCGCCUUCGAGGCGCAGGGUUUCCGCAAGGUCAAGUACAAUGUCGUCAAGCGGCCCACGAACGACUGGCCGAAAGAUGCGAGGAUGAAGGAGAUCGGACAGGUGACUUGCCCCCCUCCCCCCCGUUUCCCCUUUUUCUUCCUUGGUCGAUCCACCACCAGCUCGUCACAGUGGCUCGAAGACUGACGGACCGGGGUGCAGUACUGCUGUCUCAACUUCCUCGAAGGCCUGGAGGGCUUCACCAUCGCGCCCUUCACCCGCAUCCUCGGCUGGAGUAAGGAGGAAGUCAACGUCCUCAUCGCGCGCGUCCGCGCCGAAGUCGUGAAGCGCAACAUCCACGCAUACCAUAAGGCGUGAGUCCAUCCUCGCCUACGUACCCUCCCCCCAUGCAUACCAACACCGUCUUACCUCCUCGGCCCUUGAAAUUUGUCAUCGCUGACCACUUCUUUUCGCGCAGCGUCGUCUGCUACGGCCAAAAACCGGAAGCCGUCUCAACAUAAGCGCCCUCCAUCCCCCUUCGGACCCCGUUAUCCCGCUUACCCUUCGAGUAUAUACCUUUUGAUCCCCGAAUCCCCACCCCCGGCCUUUUCCAAAUCCUUCCCACCCUCCUCCCUCCACAAACAUAAAAAGAAAUCUCUUUAGACGACUAAAAGUGGUCAUUUCUCUUUGGGGAUCUUCUGCAUCGUCUCACUGCUUGGAAAGGGGAAAAUUCCCUUGUUUUUGUCUUUUUUUUUUGGCGAAGGCGCUCGCGGCGUACCCUGGAGUGGAAGCGAGGGGGGUUCUUUCUGGGGAUUUCUGGUGCGGAAUCGCUUUCUUGCGCCCUUGGGGCACUUUGCUUGGUUGCCUUAUUGCCGAGAGGCUGGUUGGUCUUGGGCUCUUUCUGCACAUGCAUAUGUACCCACGGUGGUGGAGGAGAAGGAGGAGGAGGAGGAGGAGGAGGACAGGGGAAUAUGGGUCCACCGGCUUAAGUUCCCUCAACUUGGACCUUUCCCUCUCUUUCCUGGAUGGAUCGGAUGCGAUGGGACGAGAGAGAGGAUGGCACGGACCAAAUCUAGGUCGCAAGCAGCAAGGAAAAGAAAAAACCAAUGUCCAUACCACCUCUUCUUGUGUGCUCUUGUCCCUCUCUCCUUUUUCUUUCUUAUCCGCUGACGUAGUUUUCGGAUCCGCUGUUGGAAAGUGAGAUUCACAUUCUUGCCUGCCUGCCUGCCUGUCUGCCUGUCUACCUCUCUCUCUCUUUUUCUCUCUCUCUCUAUGUUCAUCUAUUGGGAAGCUGAAGCAUCGGGCCAACAGGCGAAUCACCUUUGCAGCAGGAACCCCCCCAAAGUUUCUCUCUUUCUCCACCCCGGGGGCCCGGCAGCAUGGGGAGACCGAAGCGGGUCCAUGGAUGUAUAUACACAGAUCGUGGACAUAUCCUCCAGAUUUCCCCGCCUGUUCUGCUGGCAUGCUUCGCUCACUUGAUCUUCCCUCUCUCUCUCCGUCUGGGUUUGAUUUCGUCUCUCGUUCUCUCUGGUUUUGGUUUCAUCUCUCUUUCUCUCCUCAUCUAUUUGCCUCUCUCGGGCCUGCUAGUCUUUGAUUGUCCCUUCGUUCCCGUCAUGGCGCGUUGUGAGCAUUUCACGUUCUCUCUCUCUCUCUCUCUCUCUCUCUCUCUCUCUCUCUCUCUCUCUCUCUCUCUUUCUCUCUCUCUCUUUCUUUUUCCUUCUCUCCUCCUGAAUCUAUACCGCGCAGCAGAUUCUCCCAUACGCUUCGAGGCAGAGGAGAAUGUAAGAAGGACGCCGAGGCAGAGGAAUGAGAGCAGCGGGACUGGACCGAAAAACAGCACCGGACGAACGGGCAAAGAGGCCGCGCCAUCGGGGUAGGCUUCCACCACCGAGGAACAAAGCUUGAUUUUUCCGCGGGGGUGGGUAGGGAUUCUUGGGCUGUGCUGUUGAUGUGGUCUGUCCGUAGGGGGCCAAGUGAGGUGCGUGUGGCUUUUUUCUUUUACCAUGGAGAGGGAAGUGAUGCUGCUGGUGGCUGAGAAGGGAAGGACAUUGAAGAAUCAGGGCCGAUAUGCGGCUGACUGAGAUGGGGAGGAGGGUGAGGUAGGUAGGUCAAUUGGCUGAUGAAGUCUUCGGCCUGGAGGUUUCUUUCUUGCUUUCUCGGUUUCUUUCUUCCUUUCUUUCUUGCGCAGACAGACUUAGACGCGAGAUCUUUCCGGACAGUGAGAAAGGGCUGCUGUGCGUGACCGGAGGCGGGCACCGGGUCAUACCUGGAUUGGAAGGGCUCUGCACAUAUGCUUGCUUCUUGUGGGACGUGUUGCUGAAGGGUCACUGUUAGAUUCAACGUGAUACUGCCUGUGGUUGAUUUGCGCGUGGCGAGAGACACAGAGGGGCUUUAAAACGGCGUUGGGGGAUAAAGUAGUAUACAAUAGCUCAGUGCGUAUGUACAGACGACUCGGAUGAUCCUCGAAAACCUUUCCGAGCCAGCAUGUGCACCCCUGACAUCAGCCGAGGGUGUUUGAGUUUGUCAAAUGGAAGGCCACAUGGACACCACUGCACGUCCAACCCUGCGAGUUCGCUCAUCUAUCGCUCAUGUUCGUGUUCCGCCGAAUUUGCUCGCUUUCUUGACAGCGCUUCUCACACCGUACUCUUCUGA
rnacentral:sRNA from 1 species